UUUGUAUUUUUACGGAAUGUAUGGAAUUGGAAAUCAUUCACGAAAGCGUUGUGGGCUUUCAUGUCCUGUUCUUGUUUCUUCUUCCAUGCUUCUGAUGGAUCUGAAGUUAACUCGCCUGUGUGUUCUCCGGUUCUCCCUGCUGGCAACAAAACUCUGUAACUAGCCCAGUGAUUGGGCUUGUGCAGAAAACCAAUUGUAACUAGCACAGGCAAAUGAGCACCGGAAUGGCCAGCAGAAACAAACAAACAAUGAUUUGUCACAGCUCACUGAUAAAGCUCCAACGUUUCGUUGAUUCGGUGGUUCAGGUCAGGAUCCUGUUAGCUUACCUGUACUGGAGAUGAGUGUUGUUCUCGGCUACUUCAAAAGCCUCGAAGAUCUCCCAGGCAACAGCUCCUGGGAUACGCUCUGAAGCAUCUUUCGGGUAUAACAAGGUUUGGUGGGAGCUUUCCAAGCUGUGUUCCUGCAGGGCAUGCUCAACCUGACGUGGAUUGGAGGCGAGGGCUGGGGAAGACGGCACUUUGUUC
rnacentral:lncRNA from 1 species